CGCUCCGCUCACCUCCCGGUGCCGCCUCCCUCCAGCCCGGCUCCUCCAGCCACCGCUCGGCUCCAAGAGUGAUAUGUUACAAAAUCCUGCAUACAUCAGACAUCACAUAGAAUGAUAUUGGAUGCCAUUGUUAUACAUAACUGGGUCCUUUAUCUCUUUUCAAGGAUUGAAAGCACACAUAUGGUUCUCCAGAACAGUACAGUGAGUUUGCAGCUGCAGGAGGCAGGACU